rnacentral:rRNA from 1 species
GACGAACGCUGGCGGCGUGCUUAACACAUGCAAGUCGAACGGAAAGGCCCUGCUUUUGUGGGGUGCUCGAGUGGCGAACGGGUGAGUAACACGUGAGUAACCUGCCCUUGACUUUGGGAUAACUUCAGGAAACUGGGGCUAAUACCGGAUAGGAGCUCCUGCUGCAUGGUGGGGGUUGGAAAGUUUCGGCGGUUGGGGAUGGACUCGCGGCUUAUCAGCUUGUUGGUGGGGUAGUGGCUUACCAAGGCUUUGACGGGUAGCCGGCCUGAGAGGGUGACCGGCCACAUUGGGACUGAGAGACGGCCCAGACUCCUACGGGAGGCAGCGGUGGGGAAUAUUGCACAAUGGGCGGAAGCCUGAUGCAGCAACGCCGCGUGCGGGAGGACGGCCUUCGGGUUGUAAACCGCUUUCGCCUGUGACGAAGCGUGAGUGACGGUAAUGGGUAAAGAAGCACCGGCUAACUACGU